rnacentral:rRNA from 1 species
UACGUAGGGGGCGAGCGUUGUCCGGAUUUACUGGGCGUAAAGAGCGCGUAGGCGGAAAUUUAAGCGUGGCCUGAAAGCCCCCGGCUCAACCGGGGAGUGCGGCUGCGAACUGGGUUUCUUGAGGACGAUAGAGGAGAGUGGAAUUCCUGGUGUAGCGGUGAAAUGCGUAGAUAUCAGGAGGAACACCUGAGGCGAAGGCGGGCUACUGGGCCGAUACUGACGCUGAUGCGCGAAAGCCAGGGGAGCGAACGGG